rnacentral:piRNA from 1 species
UAGGAUCUUUAUGUAUCAGUUGUAUGCCA